UUACCUGGCCUUGACAUACUAAGAACUUUCCAGAGAUGGAUUGGUGCCUUCGGGAACUUAGAUACAGGUGCUGCAUGGCUGUCGUCAGCUCGUGUCGUGAGAUGUUGGGUUAAGUCCCGCAACGAGCGCAACCCUUUUCCUUAUUGCCAGCGGGUUAAGCCGGGAACUUUAAGGAUACUGCCAGUGACAAACUGGAGGAAGGCGGGGACGACGUCAAGUCAUCAUGGCCCUUACGGCCAGGGCUACACACGUGCUACAAUGGUCGGUACAAAGGGUUGCUACCUCGCGAGAGGAUGCUAAUCUCAAAAAGCCGAUCGUAGUCCGGAUCGCAGUCUGCAACUCGACUGCGUGAAGUCGGAAUCGCUAGUAAUCGCGGAUCAGAAUGCCGCGGUGAAUACGUUCCCGGGCCUUGUACACACCGCCCGUCACACCAUGGGAGUUUGUUGCACCAGAAGUAGGUAGUCUAACCGCAAGGAGGACGCUUACCACGGUGUGGCCGAUGACUGGGGUGAAGUCGUAACAAGGUAGGCGUAGAUGA
rnacentral:rRNA from 1 species